UGGGGAAUAUUGCACAAUGGGCGAAAGCCUGAUGCAGCGACGCCGCGUGAGGGAUGACGGCCUUCGGGUUGUAAACCUCUUUCAGUAGGGACGAAGCGCAAGUGACGGUACCUGCAGAAGAAGCACCGGCUAACUACGUGCCAGCAGCCGCUGUAAUACGUAGGGUGCGAGCGUUGUCCGGAAUUACUGGGCGUAAAGAGCUCGUAGGCGGUUUGUCACGUCGUCUGUGAAAUCCUAGGGCUUAACCCUGGACGUGCAGGCGAUACGGGCUGACUUGAGUACUACAGGGGAGACUGGAAUUUCUGGUGUAGCGGUGGAAUGCACAGAUAUCAGGAAGAACACCGAUGGCGAAGGCAGGUCUCUGGGUAGUAACUGACGCUGAGGAGCGAAAGCAUGGGUAGCGAACAGG
rnacentral:rRNA from 1 species